rnacentral:rRNA from 1 species
UWUUUUUUUUUUAGAGGAACUUGUUUAUUAAAUUGAUAAUCCACGAGUAGAAGAACUUAAUUUUUUUUUAUGUAUUGUUGUUGUAAAAUUAUAUUAAUAGAUAUUAAUUGAUAAAUUUAAUUAAAAUUAUAAUUCAAAUCAAAAUGUAGAAUAAUUAAGAGUUUAAUGAGUUACAAUUAAUUUAAUAAUUGGAAUUUAAAAAUUUAAUUUAUAGAUAAAAUUGGAUUAAAAGUAAAUUUAUAUAAAUAUAUAAAUGAAUAAAAAUAAA